GCACUGCUGAGGAGUUCUAAGCAGGACGAAACAGCCUUCCAGUAC
rnacentral:hammerhead_ribozyme from 1 species